CUCGUAACAGUAAUAAUUAACAAUAAUCACAGUGGGCGUUAGCGAGCUUUAUCUCAGUGCCAGGCACCGGGCUACCGCUUCUCGUUCCUCAUCGUUUGUCCUCACACCGACCCUGGAGGGGAGGCAGACGAGAAAACUGAGGCUGGCAGACGUCUGCCUGAGGUUUCACAACUAGAAAACUCCAUCCUCCUUCUGGUCUCAGUUUCCCCGUCUGUGGAAGGGGAAGGUUGCACCUGGGACUUGCCAACUGACAAGGGCAGGAGGGAGACCACAGACUUGCUUGGGGUUGGGCUGAGCGUAACACCGCGGCUUUGAAGGCUCACUAGUCCCUGGCUGCAAAUGCCUUCGAUGCCACAAGCAAGAGGAAAGAUGCGGAGUGGGGACCGUCCCCAUGACCUGGCACCCCCUCGUCAAAGCUGUGCCCCUUUGGGUGCCCAGGGUCCUGCCAGAGCUCAGCCAGGGGCUCAAAGGUGUCCUCUUUGCCUUGCUGAUCUCCUCACUUCUGGGCUGGAACAUGGAAAUGACUCACUUUACAGAUGAGGGAACUGAGGCACAGAAUGGGGAAGAGUCUUGCCUGAGUUACACAGACCUGGCUCCUACUGGCUCAGAGAGAGGGGGCUGUUAAAGGCUCAUGGAUUUUGCAAGCCCGAUUUCAUUGGCGCUUUGAACUCAGCUGCAAGUGCAGCCGGUGGUGAAACAUUUACCAGCUCACCACUGACUGGAGGCCAGCCACAGCUUUUAGAGACAGUGUCUCUAGAAGGGUCCCUAGCUUAGAAAGUUGCAGAGAUUUGCAAGACCGCACCCUCGUCUCCAGAUCUGUCACGGAUCUGAGGCUGACGCCAAAGCCAAAGAAAUUUCUUCCCUCUCUCGUGAUGCCAACAGCUAGCUUCUCUCUCUACUCCACCAUAAUGACAUCCCAUCCUGUGCAAGAAGACUGUCCCGGCUGUCCCUUGGGGCAGGGAUUAAAGGUACUACAGGGUUCAGAGCGCCUGGCCAGCUCGCCCUAACCUCUGACACCGUGUGAUCAAUUCCAUAAAUAUUUACCAAGCUCCUCACUUAACCUCCCUGAGC